GAUGAACGCUGGCGGCGUGCCUAACACAUGCAAGUCGAGCGAAGCACCUUACUUGAUUUCUUCGGAAUGAAGUUUUUGCGACUGAGUGGCGGACGGGUGAGUAACGCGUGGGUAACCUGCCUCAUACAGGGGGAUAACAGUUAGAAAUGACUGCUAAUACCGCAUAAGCGCACAGUGCCGCAUGGCAGUGUGUGAAAAACUCCGGUGGUGUGAGAUGGAUCCGCGUCUGAUUAGCCAGUUGGCGGGGUAACGGCCCACCAAAGCGACGAUCAGUAGCCGACCUGAGAGGGUGACCGGCCACAUUGGGACUGAGACACGGCCCAA
rnacentral:rRNA from 1 species